rnacentral:rRNA from 1 species
CCCUUAGAUGUUCUGGGCCGCACGCGCACUACACUGAUGCAUUCAACGAGUAAUCUUUGACCUUGGUCGACAGAUCUGGGUAAUCUUUUGAAAUUGCAUCGUGAUGGGGCUUGCGGGUUGCAAUUACCCGCACCAACGAGGAAUUCCUAGUAAACGCAAGUCAUCAACUUGCAUUGAUUACGUCCCUGCCCUUUGUACACACCGCCCGUCGCUCCUACCGAUUGAGCGGUCCGGUGAAGACUCAGGAGAUGGGCGCGUGCUUGGUUCGCCAACUGCGCUGCCUGCCAAAUUUGUCUAAACCUUAUCGCUUAGAGGAAGGAGAAGUCGUAACA